UGAAAUCUCGGGGCUCAACCUCGAAACUGCGUCUGAAACUGCAGGUCUAGAAUCUUGGAGGGGGAAGGGGAAUUUCGCAUGUAGGGGUAAAAUCCGUAGAUAUGCGAAGGAACACCAGAGGCGAAGGCGCCUUCCUGGACAAGUAUUGACGCUGAGGCGCGAAAGCGUGGGGAUCAAACAGGAUUAGAUACCCUGGUAGUCCACGCUGUAAACGAUGAAUACUAGAUAUUGAGGGAUUUGACCCCCACAGUGUCGUAGCUAACGCGUUAAG
rnacentral:rRNA from 1 species